UUACGGUCACAUCACGUUGAAACACUGGUUGUUGUACGAUCACCGAUGUCAAGCAACGUAGAGCCUGGUCAGUACCUAGAUGGGUGACCGUUUGGGAAUAUCAGAUGCUGUAA
rnacentral:rRNA from 1 species